rnacentral:rRNA from 1 species
UACGGAGGGUGCAAGCGUUAUCCGGAUUUACUGGGUUUAAAGGGUGCGUAGGUGGGUCUGUAAGUCAGUGGUGAAAUCUCCGAGCUUAACUCGGAAACUGCCAUUGAUACUAUAGAUCUUGAAUAUCCUGGAGGUGAGCGGAAUAUGUCAUGUAGCGGUGAAAUGCUUAGAUAUGACAUAGAACACCAAUUGCGAAGGCAGCUCACUACGGGAUUAUUGACACUGAGGCACGAAAAGCGUGGGGGAUCAAAACAGG